CUUUUCCGGUCUGCGGUUUUUGGUCAAUUCCAGUGAUUAGUUUGCACAAUUUGUCAGGUCAAAUAAAAAUGACAGUUGCGGUAUAUUUUGAAUUACUCUGAGAUCAGCAUCAUCUGAGUCUUUGUCUUAAAGAGGGUGGUCGGAUUUUUCGACCUAAUAGAACAUGGGUCUCGAACCCUUGAGAGGGGUGUGCGACUUUGUUUUUUUUUAAGGCUUCUUUUCGGACAAUUUUUGCAUAUUGGUGAAACGGUGGGUAGAAAGGAAUGUUUAAUUUUGAGGAGCCGGGAGGUUUUUCUGCUCUGUCAGAAGCAUGCUUGAAGUUCCAUUAGCACAACUGGCAAAAUUCUGUGGCUGGACAGAACCAAAAUUGAAUUAUGUGGGAAGAACACACAAAACCAUGAGUGGAGGAAAAAUGGCACAGCAGCACACCAACAUUAAAACUUUUUCCCAGCUCUGCAGGAUCGUAGAAGAAGCAUCGUGGUAUAGGUGAGCUUUGCUAACUCAGGGCCUGGACGGCAUAGCCGAGUGUUAUCAUU